GACGAACGCUGGCGGCGUGCUUAACACAUGCAAGUCGAACGGAAAGGCCUUGUUCCUGUGGGGUGCUCGAGUGGCGAACGGGUGAGUAAGACGUGAGGAACCUGCCCUCGUCUUUGGGAUAACUUCAGGAAACUGGGGCCAAUACCGGAUAGGAGCUCCUGCUGCAUGGGGGGGGUUGGAGAGUGUCGGCGGUUGGGAAUGGACUGCGGGUUCAUCAGCUUGUUGGUGGGGUGGUGGCUUACCAAGGCUUUGACGGUUAGCCGGCCUGAGAGGGGGACCGGCCACAUAGGGAGUGGGAUACGACCCAGAGUCCAACGGGGGGCAGAGGUGGGGGAUAUUGCACGCAGGGCGGAAGCCGGAUACAGAGACGCCGCGUGGGGAAGGACGGCCUUCAGGUGGUAAACAGCUUUCGCCUGUGACGAGGCGUGAGGAAGGGAAAUGGGGAAAAAGGAACGGGCUAACUAGGG
rnacentral:rRNA from 1 species